rnacentral:rRNA from 2 species
UCGAACGAACUCUGGUAUUGAUUGGUGCUUGCAUCAUGAUUUACAUUUGAGUGAGUGGCGAACUGGUGAGUAACACGUGGGAAACCUGCCCAGAAGCGGGGGAUAACACCUGGAAACAGAUGCUAAUACCGCAUAACAACUUGGACCGCAUGGUCCGAGUUUGAAAGAUGGCUUCGGCUAUCACUUUUGGAUGGUCCCGCGGCGUAUUAGCUAGAUGGUGGGGUAACGGCUCACCAUGGCAAUGAUACGUAGCCGACCUGAGAGGGUAAUCGGCCACAUUGGGACUGAGACACGGCCCAAACUCCUACGGGAGGCAGCAGUAGGGAAUCUUCCACAAUGGACGAAAGUCUGAUGGAGCAACGCCGCGUGAGUGAAGAAGGGUUUCGGCUCGUAAAACUCUGUUGUUAAAGAAGAACAUAUCUGAGAGUAACUGUUCAGGUAUUGACGGUAUUUAACCAGAAAGCCACGGCUAACUACGUGCCAGCAGCCGCGGUAAUACGUAGGUGGCAAGCGUUGUCCGGAUUUAUUGGGCGUAAAGCGAGCGCAGGCGGUUUUUUAAGUCUGAUGUGAAAGCCUUCGGCUCAACCGAAGAAGUGCAUCGGAAACUGGGAAACUUGAGUGCAGAAGAGGACAGUGGAACUCCAUGUGUAGCGGUGAAAUGCGUAGAUAUAUGGAAGAACACCAGUGGCGAAGGCGGCUGUCUGGUCUGUAACUGACGCUGAGGCUCGAAAGUAUGGGUAGCAAACAGGAUUAGAUACCCUGGUAGUCCAUACCGUAAACGAUGAAUGCUAAGUGUUGGAGGGUUUCCGCCCUUCAGUGCUGCAGCUAACGCAUUAAGCAUUCCGCCUGGGGAGUACGGCCGCAAGGCUGAAACUCAAAGGAAUUGACGGGGGCCCGCACAAGCGGUGGAGCAUGUGGUUUAAUUCGAAGCUACGCGAAGAACCUUACCAGGUCUUGACAUACUAUGCAAAUCUAAGAGAUUAGACGUUCCCUUCGGGGACAUGGAUACAGGUGGUGCAUGGUUGUCGUCAGCUCGUGUCGUGAGAUGUUGGGUUAAGUCCCGCAACGAGCGCAACCCUUAUUAUCAGUUGCCAGCAUUAAGUUGGGCACUCUGGUGAGACUGCCGGUGACAAACCGGAGGAAGGUGGGGAUGACGUCAAAUCAUCAUGCCCCUUAUGACCUGGGCUACACACGUGCUACAAUGGAUGGUACAACGAGUUGCGAACUCGCGAGAGUAAGCUAAUCUCUUAAAGCCAUUCUCAGUUCGGAUUGUAGGCUGCAACUCGCCUACAUGAAGUCGGAAUCGCUAGUAAUCGCGGAUCAGCAUGCCGCGGUGAAUACGUUCCCGGGCCUUGUACACACCGCCCGUCACACCAUGAGAGUUUGUAACACCCAAAGUCGGUGGGGU